rnacentral:rRNA from 1 species
AGUGAACGCUGGCGGUAGGCCUAACACAUGCAAGUCGAACGGCAGCACAGUAAGAGCUUGCUCUUACGGGUGGCGAGUGGCGGACGGGUGAGGAAUACAUCGGAAUCUACUUUUUCGUGGGGGAUAACGUAGGGAAACUUACGCUAAUACCGCAUACGACCUACGGGUGAAAGCAGGGGAUCUUCGGACCUUUCGCGAUUGAAUGAGCCGAUGUCGGAUUAGCUAGUUGGCGGGGUAAAGGCCCACCAAGGCGACGAUCCGUAGCUGGUCUGAGAGGAUGAUCAGCCACACUGGAACUGAGACACGGUCCAGACACCUACGGGAGGCAGCAGUGGGGAAUAUUGGAAAAUGGGCGCAAGCCUGAUCCAGCCAUACCGCGUGGGUGAAGAAGGCCUUCGGGUUGUAAAGCCCUUUUGUUGGGAAAGAAAAGCAGCAGGUUAAUACCCCGCUGUUCUGACGGUACCCAAAGAAUAAGCACCGGCUAACUUCGU